rnacentral:lncRNA from 1 species
CUUUAUUUACUGAAGCCAAAAGACUCCAAUAGUCAUGAAUACUGUCAUCUCCAGAAAGGAGGUAGCUACCCUUGCAUUUCAUCAGGGCUCUGCUUGCAAGAAUCGCAAGGCAGAUCAAGCCUAGAGGCCUGAGGUAAGAAGACUAUUCCCCACCAAUCUUCUAGGAAAGCCAGAGUUAGGAGUCCAGUUAUUCUCUAACCCUUCUCAUUCUCUAUCCUCCAACCCCAAGGAU